UCAGCAAAUGGCGUGCAAGGGAGCAGAGUUGGUAGAACAUAGCUCCCUCGCCGAGCCUGAUAGGUAGACAGGCACCCGCCUGGGCCUUUGGGGACGGCAUAUUUUGCCGCCCCCUGGUUAGUGCCUGCAGGGGGAACAGCGUUCCUGCUGUGAAAAAAGUGCAGGAACGCCGUUCCCACACGUUCCUGCAGGACUCGAGCCCUACAGACACAUACAUACAUACACAGACAAAUACAAUAUAUGUAUGUAUAUGCUUGUAUGUAUAUAUGUAUGUAUGCACG